rnacentral:rRNA from 1 species
ACGUAGGGUGCAAGCGUUGUCCGGAAUUAUUGGGCGUAAAGAGCUCGUAGGCGGUUUGUCGCGUCUGCUGUGAAAUCCCGAGGCUCAACCUCGGGCCUGCAGUGGGUACGGGCAAACUAGAGUGUGGUAGGGGAGAUUGGAACUCCUGGUGUAGCGGUGGAAUGCGCAGAUAUCAGGAAGAACACCGAUGGCGAAGGCAGAUCUCUGGGCCAUUACUGACGCUGAGGAGCGAAAGCGUGGGGAGCGAACAGGAUUAGAUACCCUGGUAGUCCACGCCGUAAACGUUGGGAACUAGAUGUAGGGUCCAUUCCACGGAUUCUGUGUCGCAGCUAACGCAUUAAGUUCCCCGCCUGGGGAGUACGGCCGCAAGGCUA